rnacentral:rRNA from 1 species
UACGGAGGGUGCGAGCGUUGUCCGGAAUCAUUGGGCGUAAAGGGCGCGUAGGUGGCGGCUUAAGCGUGCGGUGAAAGCUCGGGGCUCAACCCCGAGUCGGCCGUGCGAACUGAGUCGCUUGAGCACUGUAGAGGCAGGCGGAAUUCCGGGUGUAGCGGUGGAAUGCGUAGAGAUCCGGAAGAACACCGGUGGCGAAGGCGGCCUGCUGGGCAGUAGCUGACACUGAGGCACGAAGGUCAGGGGAGCAAACGGG